AGUGAACGCUUGCGGCGUGCCUAAUACAUGCAAGUCGAACGGAGUGGCGCACGGGUGAGUAAUAUAUAGCUACUCUGCCCCUUGCUGGAGGACAACAGUUAGAAAUCACUGCUACUACUCCAUAGAAAGGAAUGAGACUAUAUCGUAUCAGCUAUUCGGUGGGGUAACGGCCUACCGAGGCUAUGACGCGUAACUGGUCUGAGAGGCGGAUCAGGCACAUUGGAACUGAGACACGGUCCAAACGCCGACGGGAGGCAGCAGUAGGGAAGAUUGCGCAAUGGGGGAAACCCUGACGCAGCAACGCCGCGUGGAGGAUGACACUUUUCGGAGCGUAAACUCCGUUUGUUAGGGAAGCGGUAACUAACGAAUAAGCACCGGCUAACUCCGUGCCAGCAGCCGCGGUAAUUC
rnacentral:rRNA from 1 species